rnacentral:rRNA from 1 species
AGAGUUUGAUCCUGGCUGAGGACGAACGCUGGCGGUGCGCCUUAUGCAUGCAAGUUGAGCGAAGCUUUUUGGUAGUUUACUACUAGAAAUGACUGAGCGGCGAACGGGUGAGUAACGCGUGAGCAAUCUACCUUAGUUACUGGGAUAGCCCGAGGAAACUCGGAUUAAUACCGGAUAUUCUUAUUUUUUCACAUGAAGUUUUAAGGAAAGGUCAGCCGAACUAAGAUGAGCUCGCGUUCUAUCAGCUAGUUGGUGGGGUAAAAGCCUACCAAGGCUACGACGGAUAGCUGGUCUGAGAGGACGAUCAGCCACACUGGGACUGAGACACGGCCCAGACUCCUACGGGAGGCUGCAGCAGGGAAUAUUGUGCAAUGAGCGAAAGCUUGACACAGCGACACCGCGUGUGGGAUGACGGUUCUAGGAUUGUAAACCACUUUCAGGAGGGAAGAAAAUGACGGUACCUCCACAAGAAGACCCGGCCAACUAUGUGCCAGCCGCCGCGGUCAUACCUAGGGGUCAAGCG